rnacentral:tRNA from 1 species
UCCCUGGUGGCUCAGAUGGCUAAAGCAUCUGCCUGCAAUACGGGAGACCCAGGUUCGACCCCUGGGUUGGGAA